GGCCCCUGCCGAGCUCCGCCCCGCCCCACCCCGACGGCGUCCCGGCGCAGCCCCUGCCGAGCUCCGCCCCUGCUAGAUUGGGACAAGGAGGAGAGAGGAGGACGACGAGGAGAAGGAGGCCACGCCGCGCACGCCGUUGAGCCCAUAGGUGAUUGAAGAAAGAUGCCGGGCGGCGGACUUCAACGAUCGGUCGCCUCACUGUACAGAAGAAUGAUGCCACACUCGGAUGCUGGUGAGGGCUCCGAUAGGAGUUCCGGGUUGGGGCGAGGCAAGGGUCAAGGUAAGGGUGGACCCAAGAGGGGUCGAGGGAAGGGUGGAGGCAGGAGGCGUCGAGAGCCUUCGCCUGUACUGCCGUCUCAAGA